rnacentral:misc_RNA from 1 species
AGUCGUAACAAGGUUUCCGUAGGUGAACCUGCGGAAGGAUCAUUACCGAGUGAGGGCCCUCUGGGUCCAACCUCCCACCCGUGUUUAUCGUACCUUGUUGCUUCGGCGGGCCCGCCACUUGUGGCCGCCGGGGGGCACUUGCCCCCGGGCCCGCGCCCGCCGAAGACACCAUUGAACGCUGUAUGAAGAUUGCAGUCUGAGCUUAUUAGCUAAAUUAGUUAAAACUUUCAACAACGGAUCUCUUGGUUCCGGCAUCGAUGAAGAACGCAGCGAAAUGCGAUAAGUAAUGUGAAUUGCAGAAUUCAGUGAAUCAUCGAGUCUUUGAACGCACAUUGCGCCCCCUGGUAUUCCGGGGGGCAUGCCUGUCCGAGCGUCAUUGCUGCCCUCAAGCACGGCUUGUGUGUUGGGCCCCCGUCCCCCUCUCCCGGGGGACGGGCCCGAAAGGCAGCGGCGGCACCGCGUCCGGUCCUCGAGCGUAUGGGGCUUUGUCACCCGCUCUGUAGGCCCGGCCGGCGCCUGCCGACCACCAUCAAUCUUUUUUCAGGUUGACCUCGGAUCAGGUAGGGAUACCCGCUGAACUUAAGCAUAUCAAUAAGCGGAGGA